rnacentral:rRNA from 1 species
AUUGAACGCUGGCGGCAUGCUUUACACAUGCAAGUCGAACGGUAACAGGCCUUCGGGUGCUGACGAGUGGCGAACGGGUGAGUAAUGCAUCGGGACGUGCCCAAUCGUGGGGGAUAACGUAGCGAAAGUUACGCUAAUACCGCAUAAGCCCUGAGGGGGAAAGUGGGGGACCGCAAGGCCUCACGCGAAUGGAGCGGCCGAUGUCAGAUUAGCUAGUUGGUGGGGUAAAGGCCCACCAAGGCGACGAUCUGUAGCGGGUCUGAGAGGAUGAUCCGCCACACUGGGACUGAGACACGGCCCAGACUCCUACGGGAGGCAGCAGUGGGGAAUUUUGGACAAUGGGCGCAAGCCUGAUCCAGCCAUGCCGCGUGCGGGACGAAGGCCUCGG